rnacentral:rRNA from 1 species
CAGCCGCCGCGGUAAGACGGAGGGUGCUAGCGUUGUUCGGAAUCACUGGGCGUAAAGGGCGCGUAGGCGGCCUGUUAAGUCGGAUGUGAAAGCCCGGGGCUCAACCCCGGAACUGCAUCCGAGACUGGCAGGCUUGAGACCGGGAGAGGAGGGUGGAAUAUCCAGUGUAGAGGUGAAAUUCGUAGAUAUUGGAUGGAACACCGGUGGCGAAAGCGGCUCUCUGGCCCGGAUCUGACGCUGAGGCGCGAAAGCGUGGGGAGCAAACAGGAUUAGAUACCCCUGUAGUCCCUGUCUCUAUACA